ACCAGACAGAUUUGGGAUUUCAGAACUUUUCAGAUGUUAGAAAGGGCAUGAGCAUGAAGAUGCUGACAAAGCUGUUCCUACACUUCCUGUGCUGGCUGGGAAGGGAUCUGAUUCGGGCUGAGCCUUAAGAAUCACAGUUCCAAGCUUUCUUCUCAUUCCAGAUUUUAGUCGGGAAAGUAGGCAUUCUGGAAGUAGAGUCCGUAUCUAUACUUUAUAUGUUCCCCUUAGGUUUGAUGAGCAAAAAGUAAUAAAGGAAACACAAACUCAGGAAAGAAAAGAUUUUUCUAGGAAAGAUCUAUUUACACUACUUAGGCCUCUACCCUUCUUCCCUUGGGAGUUUCUUAGCUUAGCUUGGAAGAUCACAGAUUAAAGUACAAUAUAGCAAGUAUUAUUAAAAACAACCUGUAAAACUGCAUUAUCCCAAAGAUUUAGCAGCUAAUUUUCUGUUGCCUUUAGUUCUCACAUCAUUUUUUUUUUCAGGGUAUAACCUUCUUUAAAUUUUAUGCCCUGCUCUCAAAUUCCUUCUGGGUUUAAUGACUAAUCUCUUUAUUUGUGUUUACCCUGGUGAAGCCUGUAGAAAGAAAAUCAUAAAUUAAUGGCAUAUAUUUGCAGCUAUAAACGGGACAGAUUCAGAAAUAUACAAACAUGCCUAGUAACCAAUUUCCUGAAAUUGCAAUGCUCAACUCCCAAUUAACCUUAGAAUUUACAAGUCUAAUCAAAUGGCCCAGUCCAUUUCCAUUGAAAAGCUGUGCACUGUGUAUAAUCUUUCACUUGACCUAAAUCUGUAGUAGACUUUGGGAAAUAAACUCCUUUGUGGAGCCAGUUGUUCUAUUGGAU
rnacentral:lncRNA from 1 species